rnacentral:rRNA from 1 species
GAACGGGUGAGUACACGUGGGUGAUCUGCCCUGCACUUUGGGAUAAGCCUGGGAAACUGGGUCUAAUACCGAAUAUGACCAUGCGCUUCCUGGUGUGUGGUGGAAAGCUUUUGCGGUGUGGGAUGGGCCCGCNNNNNUCAGCUUGUUGGUGGGGUAAUGGCCUACCAAGGCGACGACGGGUAGCCGGCCUGAGAGGGUGACCGGCCACACUGGGACUGAGAUACGGCCCAGACUCCUACGGGAGGCAGCAGUGGGGAAUAUUGCACAAUGGGCGCAAGCCUGAUGCAGCGACGCCGCGUGAGGGAUGACGGCCUUCGGGUUGUAAACCUCUUUCAGCACAGACGAAGCGCAAGUGACGGUAUGUGCAGAAGAAGGACCGGCCAACUACGUGCCAGCAGCCGCGGUAAUACGUAGGGUCCGAGCGUUGUCCGGAAUUACUGGGCGUAAAGAGCUCGUAGGUGGUUUGUCGCGUUGUUCGUGAAAACUCACAGCUUAACUGUGGGCGUGCGGGCGAUACGGGCAGACUCGAGUACUGCAGGGGAGACUGGAAUUCCUGGUGUAGCGGUGGAAUGCGCAGAUAUCAGGAGGAACACCGGUGGCGAAGGCGGGUCUCUGGGCAGUAACUGACGCUGAGGAGCGAAAGCGUGGGGAGCGAACAGGAUUAGAUACCCUGGUAGUCCACGCCGUANACGGUGGGUACUAGGUGUGGGUUUCCUUCCUUGGGAUCCGUGCCGUAGCUAACGCAUUAAGUACCCCNNNUGGGGAGUACGGCCGCAAGGCUAAAACUCAAAGAAAUUGACGGGGGCCCGCANNNGNGGCG